rnacentral:rRNA from 1 species
CUUGGUCAUUUAGAGGAAGUAAAAGUCGUAACAAGGUUUCCGUAGGUGAACCUGCGGAAGGAUCAUUAUUGAAAUUAUAGGUGAGGGUUGUAGCUGGCCUCUCGGGGCAUGUGCACGCCCGAGCCCUUAAUCCACACACACCUGUGAACCUAUUGUAAGGGCCCUUAAAAAAGGCCUUUACGUCUUAUCAUCAACCCAUCGUAUGUCUCAUAGAAUGUAAAUAUAUGUCCUCGCCUUAAAAAGCGUUGAUAAACUUAUACAACUUUCAACAACGGAUCUCUUGGCUCUCGCAUCGAUGAAGAACGCAGCGAAAUGCGAUAAGUAAUGUGAAUUGCAGAUUUUCAGUGAAUCAUCGAAUCUUUGAACGCACCUUGCGCUCCUUGGUAUUCCGAGGAGCAUGCCUGUUUGAGUGUCAUUAAAUUCUCAACUCUGAUCGAUUUGUUUCGACUUCGGAGCUUGGAUUUGGAGCGUGCUGGCGUCGGUCGGCUCCUCUUAAAUGCAUCAGCGGAAUCUAACGUUUCGGAUGUCAGUGUGAUAAUCAUGUUGCGCUGUCUGUCUGAUCCGAAAGCCCGCUCACAAUGGUCUUCGGACAACUUCAUAUCAAAUUUGACCUCAAAUCAGGUAGGACUACCCGCUGAACUUA